ACGCAUGCGCAAGGCUUGAAUGGCGUCGGGGUUGGAGGGUUGGAAGGUCGGGAAGUGAAGGACUCGCAGGCAUAUUUAACAACGCAAAGUUGCUAGGAGUUGGUACCAGCGUUUGGGAGGUAGAGGUGGCGCUCAUGCAUAUUUGAGACAACAUCUGGAUGGUUGGGGAGAACGGUAAGGAGGAAGCGGCGCGCAUGCGUAUUUCAGACGGAGUGCCGGGGAGGGGAGGCGCUCAGCAUUCGGGUAAUUAAGGUUGCAAAAUGGCGAGGGGGGAGGUAAGCUGUCUUUGCUUGGCCAUCUUGGGCUAGCAGGCCUUGCAGAGAACUACCUUUUUAGCUGAGUGAAGGGAUCAACCUGAGUUGGAGUUCUCCUAUGCUGUGGCCAGAUCCACUAGAAAUUAACCCAGAAUCUUAGCCUCUCAGUGGCCUAUCGGUGAUGCCACACUCAAUCAGAAACUAUGCUACUGCUGAAGAGGUAUAUUGAGCCCUGCCUGGUUAACCUCCAGUGAGGUUAUUAGAGAAUUGGGAGAGGCUCAAAUCAGCAUCCUGCACCUAGUUAUCAAACCAUUGUGAAGUCUUGAUUCCUGGAUGGCCAGAAAACUUGUCAUUGGUCAAGAGCAACAUUAAGAUCUGCCUGUUACUCAUACUGAUGCUUCCUGCCCAGCAAGUUCAUCAGAGGGCGAGGAUGAAUUACGGUUGCCAUGAAUGUCCUUGUGAGGCAGUUGGGAAGCCUUGGCUGGAUUGUGAAGGAUAUUUGAAAAGUAUUUUAGAGUCCACCAGAUCAUCCAUGUGAGUGACCAUGCAGCAAAAGAAGGAGGGUCCUCUCAGUGAUUAAGGAUUAUGAAGUAUUAAUUCUUCCACUGAUAUCUCAAAAGGUGAUCUGGACAAAGGAACAGGUAUCUCAGAUUCCCAGUUCUCAAUCUUCCUUCCUCCUUACAAGAUACAAGCAACCUUCAACCUUCCCAGAGAUGGUCUCUGUAUAUGAAAGACAAUGGUCUUAUUAUGAAGUCGGCAUAUUUAUAGCUUGAUAAAAACUGAAAAAUCUGUAGCCUAUUUUUAAUAGUGAUAUAUAAGGAAAUAACAUAAAUAAAAAUUUGGCAACAAGAAUCCAGGAGCAAAUUUAUGAUCAAUACACAAUUGGGCAAGUGGUGUUCAUACCAACCAUGCAAAAAUGGUUCAAUUUUAGGAAAUCUUUGAAUAUAGCUUUUAGUAGGUCAGAGGAAAUCAGUAUCUCAAAGUACUUUCAUGAUUUAGUUAUUUUUAAGUUAUUGAUCAUUUUGGAUUUUAUUUUGAGGUUGAUAGCCAUAUAAUGAUUUCACAUUUUAUUUUAAAUGGCUAGC
rnacentral:lncRNA from 1 species